AUUUUGUUUACAUUGUUUACAUCCAAUAUUUCUACGGAGCUGAAGUGAGACGACUAUGGAUUAUUUUAGUUUCUGGAUUAUAGAAGUGUUAAUUUAGUUCAUUAUCAUGGUUCUUUGUUUUAUUAUACAGAUAACUUAGUGGGUUGUAAACAGAAAAUGUGUCACAUUCAAGCCAAAUGAAUCAACUUAAACGAGGAUGGACACUAAAAUCUACCAUGUCUACAUAAAAAUUGAAAUAUUCACACCAGACAGUUCAGAGACAAUGCUUGAAAUAUUUAAAUUUUGCAAAAGAAGAGGGUGAAAGUGCAAUUGUGAAAAAACAGACCAACAAAUGCAACAAAUUAAAACUAAAGUUGACAAGGGAUGAUUUUCUUCAGCAGAAUUUCUUUCAUCCUUGAAGAUAAACAGCUAUGUUAGCCACUUUGUUCCACAGAAAAGAAGAGCUGGCUUUCAAAUAAAACUGAAAAUCUUAUCAAAUAGAAUUCAAAAUUAUAUAUAAUUAUAUAUAGGGAUAUUUGGGUUAAAUACAAAGGUACAAACAAGUAUUUUCUGAACUAUUUCAAAGCAAAUGUGUGCCUGACUUAUACUGACUCUGUCUACUUUUGAAAAUAAAAUGUGUUCAUAUGUCAAUGCUGAUGCAUAAUGAUUUAUUACCACUUGA
rnacentral:sRNA from 1 species